rnacentral:rRNA from 1 species
GUAGGUGGCAAGCGUUGUCCGGAAUUAUUGGGCGUAAAGCGCGCGCAGGCGGUUCUUUAAGUCUGAUGUGAAAGCCCACGGCUCAACCGUGGAGGGUCAUUGGAAACUGGAGAACUUGAGUACAGAAGAGGAAAGCGGAAUUCCACGUGUAGCGGUGAAAUGCGUAGAGAUGUGGAGGAACACCAGUGGCGAAGGCGGCUUUCUGGUCUGUAACUGACGCUGAGGCGCGAAAGCGUGGGAGCAAACAGGAUUAGAUACCCGUGGUAGUCCACGCCGUAAACGAUGAGUGCUAAGGUGUUAGGGGGUUUCCGCCCCCUUAGUGCUGCAGCUAACGCAUUAAGCACUCCGGCCUGGGAGUACGGCCGCAAGGCUG